rnacentral:tRNA from 1 species
AGGUAAUUAGUUUAAUUAAAAACUUUUGAUUUCGGCUCAAAGUAUUGUGGUUAAAAUCCGCGAUUCCCUG